CUGCUCCACACUUGCCUUUAUAUCCCUCUGAAGAAGGACUCAUUAAGCUACUAUACAGGUCACUGAUUCGUGUUUAUGGAGCACCUACCAUGUACAAAACUCUUCCAGAAUCUACGGGAAGCCAAAUGACUCUGCUGGCCCGCACCACACUUACAGACUGCUAAGAGAACUAAGAGGAGGAUGGAGGGACAGAAUCUUCUGGAAGGGACUCUGGGAAAGCUUCAUAAAAGAGCGUUCACUGGAGAUGAGCCUUGAAGAGAUUAGCAUCCACUUCAGACUGCCACUAUGAACCAGACUCUGAUGCCAGAGUUGAGAAGGAGAGCCUGGAACUCUCCCUGUGAUGCUAAUUUAGGCAAAGCACUCCCUACUCCCACUGUAAGGUAGGUCACCUGCCCGUCACCUUCUCUGCUUUCCGUUCC
rnacentral:lncRNA from 1 species